UACGUAGGGUGCAAGCGUUGUCCGGAAUUAUUGGGCGUAAAGAGCGUGUAGGCGGUUCGGUAGGUCCGUUGUGAAAACUCGAGGCUCAACCUCGAGACGCCGAUGGAAACCCUCGAACUAGAGUCCGGAAGAGGAGAGUGGAAUUCCUGGUGUAGCGGUGAAAUGCGCAGAUAUCAGGAAGAACACCCGUGGCUAAGGCGGCUCUCUAGUACGGUACUGACGCUGAGACGCGAAAGCGUGGGGAGCGAACAGG
rnacentral:rRNA from 1 species